CCUACGGGUGGCUGCAGUGGGGAAUAUUGCACAAUGGGGGAAACCCUGAUGCAGCGACGCCGCGUGAGCGAGGAAGUAUUUCGGUAUGUAAAGCUCUAUCAGCAGGGACGAAAAAAGACGGUACCUGACUAAGAAGCCCCGGCUAACUACGUGCCAGCAGCCGCGGUAAUACGUAGGGGGCAAGCGUUAUCCGGAUUUACUGGGUGUAAAGGGAGCGUAGACGGCCAUGCAAGCCAGGGGGGAAAGCCCGGGGCCCAACCCCGGGACUGCCCUUGGAACUGCAUGGCUGGAGUGCGGGAGGGGCAGGCGGAAUUCCUGGUGUAGCGGUGAAAGGCGUAGAUAUCAGGAGGAACACCGGCGGCGAAGGCGGCCUGCUGGACCGCGACUGACGUUGAGGCUCGAAAGCGUGGGGAGCGAACAGGAUUAGAUACCCGAGUAGUC
rnacentral:rRNA from 1 species